CAGAUCCGGGGUGGGAAGUGAGGGGGGGGGGGGGAGAAAGGAGCAAGAACAAAAGGAUCCCAGGCUGCGCUCCGUCCCUGGAUCUUUCCCUCUCCUCCGCGGAGCACAAGGAAAUAAACAUCCGCAUAAUGCCCAUUGCACCAACUCCAUUCUGAAGAUUCCUUGGACUGGACGUGGGACAGCACAGGCAUUCCACUUCGAUCUGCAGAACUGACCUUGGUUACAGGUGUCACA